rnacentral:rRNA from 1 species
GACGAACCGAGCGAACGUUGUUCGGAAUCACUGGGCUUAAAGGGCGCGUAGGCGGGUGCUCAAGUCCGUGGUGAAAUCCUCCGGCUCAACCGGAGAACUGCCAUGGAUACUGGGUGUCUCGAGGGUGAUAGGGGUAUGCGGAACUAUCGGUGGAGCGGUGAAAUGCGUUGAUAUCGAUAGGAACUCCGGUGGCGAAGGCGGCAUACUGGAUCACAUCUGACGCUGAGGCGCGAAAGCCAGGGGAG